rnacentral:rRNA from 1 species
AUUGAACGCUGGCGGCAUGCCUUACACAUGCAAGUCGAACGGUAACAGGUCUUCGGAUGCUGACGAGUGGCGCACGGGUGAGUAAUACAUCGGAACGUGCCCGAUCAUGGGGGAUAACGGAGCGAAAGCUUUGCUAAUACCGCAUACGAUCUACGGAUGAAAGCAGGGGACCGCAAGGCCUUGCGCGGACGGAGCGGCCGAUGGCAGAUUAGGUAGUUGGUGGGAUAAAAGCUUACCAAGCCGACGAUCUGUAGCUGGUCUGAGAGGACGACCAGCCACACUGGGACUGAGACACGGCCCAGACUCCUACGGGAGGCAGCAGUGGGGAAUUUUGGACAAUGGGCGAAAGCCUGAUCCAGCCAUGCCGCGUGCAGGAUGAAGGCCUUCGGGUUGUAAACUGCUUUUGUACGGAACGAAAAGACUCUUUCUAAUAAAGAGGGUCCAUGACGGUACCGUAAGAAUAAGCACCGGCUAACUACGUG